rnacentral:rRNA from 1 species
AUUGAACGCUGGCGGCAUGCCUUACACAUGCCAGUCGAACGGUAACGGGCCUUCGGGUGCCGACGAGUGGCGAACGGGUGAGUAAUACAUCGGAACGUGCCCGAUCGUGGGGGAUAACGAGGCGAAAGCUUUGCUAAUACCGCAUACGAUCUACGGAUGAAAGCAGGGGACCGCAAGGCCUUGCGCGGACGGAGCGGCCGAUGGCAGAUUAGGUAGUUGGUGGGGUAAAAGCUUACCAAGCCGACGAUCUGUAGCUGGUCUGAGAGGAUGAUCAGCCACACUGGGACUGAGACACGGCCCAGACUCCUACGGGAGGCAGCAGUGGGGAAUUUUGGACAAUGGGCGCAAGCCUGAUCCAGCCAUGCCGCGUGCAGGAUGAAGGCCUUCGGGUUGUAAACUGCUUUUGUACGGAACGAAAAGCCUUCUUUUAAUACAGGAGGGUCAUGACGGUACCGUAAGAAUAAGCACCGGCUAACUACGUG